UAGGGAAUCUUCGGCAAUGGACGAAAGUCUGACCGAGCAACGCCGCGUGAGUGAAGAAGGUUUUCGGAUCGUAAAACUCUGUUGUUAGAGAAGAACAAGGACGUUAGUAACUGAACGUCCCCUGACGGUAUCUAACCAGAAAGCCACGGCUAACUACGUGCCAGCAGCCGCGGUAAUACGUAGGUGGCAAGCGUUGUCCGGAUUUAUUGGGCGUAAAGCGAGCGCAGGCGGUUUCUUAAGUCUGAUGUGAAAGCCCCCGGCUCAACCGGGGAGGGUCAUUGGAAACUGGGAGACUAGAGUGCAGAAGAGGAGAGUGGAAUUCCAUGUGUAGCGGUGAAAUGCGUAGAUAUAUGGGGGAACACCAGUGGCGAAGGCGGCUCUCUGGUCUGUAACUGACGCUGAGGCUCGAAAGCGUGGGGAGCAAACAGG
rnacentral:rRNA from 1 species